rnacentral:rRNA from 1 species
CCUAGCCAGUAUGCCUGAGCGCAGAGAACUUUAGUUCAGCCCCCCGAAACUAGACGAGCUACUUCGAGACAGCCUAAGUUGGGCACACCCGUCUCUGUUGCAAAAGAGUGGGACGAUCUCCAAGUAGAGGUGACAAACCUAUCGAGCCUAGUUAUAGCUGGUUGUCUGAGAAGUGUAUAUGAGUGCAGCCUCCCGGCGCCCCAAACCCGGGACAGCUAUGUCCCCCCAGGACCAAGGGCUGCCAGGAGCGUUAGUCAAAGAGGGUACAGCCCCUUUGAAAAAGGACACAACCUCACCGGGUGAUGAAAGAUCAUACUUGACCCAAGGAGCCUUGUUUUAGUGGGCCUAAAAGCAGCCACCUAAGAAGAAAGCGUUAAAGCUCAUACAAAAUCUUGCCGCCAAUACCGAACUCAACUCUUUAUUCCCCUCCCCCCAUCAGACCCUCCCACAAAUACUGGGAAAGACCCUGCUAGGAUGAGUAAUAAGAGGGGGCGCCCCUCUCCUCCACAUACGUGUACAUCGGAACGGACUCACCGCCGAUAACUAACGACCCGCCCACCCGAGGGAACCGUAGUACUGCAGAAAUAGCAAGAAAUCCCAACGCCAGAAGUCGUUAACCCAACACAGGUAUGCAUGCCCGGAAAGACUCAAUCAAAGGGAAGGAACUCGGCAAACACAAGCCUCGCCUGUUUACCAAAAACAUCGCCUCUUGCAAAACGAACGAAUAAGAGUCCCGCCUGCCCGGUGACUAUAAGUUUAACGGCCGCGGUAUUAUGACCGUGCGAAGGUAGCGCAAUCACUUGUCUUUUAAAUGGAGACCUGUAUGAAAGGCAUCACGAGGGCUUAGCUGUCUCCCCUUUAAAGUCAAUGAAAUUGAUCUCCCCGUGCAGAAGCGGGGAUAAGCUCGUAAGACGAGAAGACCCUAUGGAGCUUUAGAUACAAGGCGGCCCAUGUCAAGCACCCGCUAGCGGAAAUGAACAGAAUGAGCCCCGCCAGAGUGUCUUCGGUUGGGAUGACCGCGGGGAAAGACAUAACCCCCACAUGGACCAGGGCCACAACAGCCUUAGAGCCUAGACCCACAAGUCAAAUCAACAGCACUUCUGACCACUAAAGAUCCGGCAACGCCGAUCGAUGGGCCGAGUUACCCUAGGGAUAACAGCGCAAUCCCCUCCUAGAGCCCUUAUCAACGAGGGGGUUUACGACCUCGAUGUUGGAUCAGGACAUCCUAAUGGUGCAGCCGCUAUUCAGG